rnacentral:tRNA from 5 species
GCCCCGGUAGCUCAGCUGGAUAGAGCAAUCGCCUCCUAAGCGAUAGGUCGCAGGUUCGAAUCCUGCCCGGGGCACCA